rnacentral:lncRNA from 1 species
CGGAUGUUCAGUUCCUUUGUUAGAAGCCGACUAAACCAUGGUGUUGAUCUUUUUGGUUUAGGUUUGCCACUUUCAUAGCUAGUAUGGUCUACAAAACGAUGUUCUGAUGCACGUUUUAUGCUACAUCUGUUAUAGUGACGAUGCGACCUGGCUAAACACAGAAAUAGAGAAGAUAAACCUUGAAGCCUUGACCACGGAAACGUAUCAAACAAUGUCAGUCACUGGUGGCCAGAAAGGUCUAUCAUUUAAAUUGCUGAUGCUACAUCUGCUAUAGUGAAGAUGCGACCUGGCUAAACACAGAAAUAGAGAAGCUAAAUCACAGAGGCAUCUAACAAUAUGUGGAGUCAAUAUCUCAAAUAAAAUUUGAAGGGAGGAAACGUCCAA